rnacentral:rRNA from 1 species
ACAAUGAAGAGUUUGAUCCUGGCUCAGGAUGAACGCUAGCGGGAGGCUUAACACAUGCAAGUCGAGGGGCAGCACGAGGUAGCAAUACUUUGGUGGCGACCGGCAGACGGGUGAGUAACGCGUAUGUAACCUGCCCUGUACAGGGGGAUAACCCGGAGAAAUUCGGACUAAUAUCCCAUGGUAAUAUUGGAAGGCAUCUUUUAAUAUUUAAAGUUCCGGCGGUACAGGAGGGGCAUGCGUAACAUUAGCUGGUUGGUAAGGUAACGGCUUACCAAGGCGAUGAUGUUUAGGGGUCCUGAGAGGGUGAUCCCCCACACUGGUACUGAGACACGGACCAGACUCCUACGGGAGGCAGCAGUGAGGAAUAUUGGUCAAUGGGCGCAAGCCUGAACCAGCCAUCCCGCGUGCAGGAAGACGGCCCUAUGGGUUGUAAACUGCUUUUCCAGGGAGAGAAACUUACGUACGCGUUACGUAACUGACGGUACCCUGGGAAUAAGCAUCGGCUAACUCCG